ACACGACUACAUUAGAUACCCGUGUAGUCCCAGCCCUAAACGAUGCGCGUUAGGUGUAUCGGUGACCACGAGUCACCGAGGUGCCGAAGGGAAACCGUGAAACGUGCCGCCUGGGAAGUACGGUCGCAAGGCUGAAACUUAAAGGAAUUGGCGGGGGAGCAUCACAACGGGUGGAGCCUGCGGUUUAAUUAAGGACUCAACGCCGGGAAGCUCACCGGAUAAGACAGCGGAAUGAUUGCCGGGCUGAAGACCCUGCAUGACCAGCUG
rnacentral:rRNA from 1 species